rnacentral:rRNA from 1 species
CCUACGGGUGGCAGCAGUGAGGAAUAUUGGUCAAUGGCCGGAAGGCUGAACCAGCCAAGCCGCGUGAAGGACGAAGGUGCCAAGCAUUGUAAACUUCUUUUGUCAAGGGACAAAAUCAGGCUCGAGAGCCUGACCGAGGGUACUUGAAGAAAAAGCAUCGGCUAACUCCGGGCAAGCAGCCGCGGUAAUACGGAGUAUGCGAGCGUUAUCCGGAUUGAUGGGGUUAAAGGGGUGCGUAGGCGGACUGGUAGUUCAGCGGUAAAAGCCCGGGGCUCAACCCCGGCGAGCCGUUGAAACUGGCUGUCUUGAGAUGUCGAGAGGUAUGCGGAAUGCGCAGUGUAGCGGUGAAAUGCUUAGAUAUUGCGCAGAACUCCGGUUGCGAAGGCAGCAUACCGGCGGCGAUCUGACGCUGAGGCACGAAAGCGUGGGUAUCGAACAGGAUUAGAUACCCCAGUAGUC